rfam:Medicago truncatula strain A17 chromosome 7, whole genome shotgun sequence.
AAACAACAUCUUAUGUAUUGGAUAUUUGGCAGUUUUGGCCCCCAAGCCCACUUUUGACUUAGUCUUCGCUGACGUGGCACCCACAAUGGUCGACACGUGGCACCUCACUUAAGGGAUGUGGGUGCCACGUCAGCGAAGACUAAGUCAAAAGUGACAUUGGGGGCCAAAAUUGUCCAAUAUCUAAUACAUAGGGGGCUGUUU